GGAGAAGGAGAAGGAGAGCAAGGUAGGAGAACGCAAGGGUCUCCCACAAAGUAAGGAGUAUAACCAAGAGGUGACGAGACAACGCGGCACGAGGUCAUCAGCUGUCCAUCAUCACCUAAGACUCAAGUAUGGAUUAAGGGAAUCAUACAGAGACUAUGGCUGAGGAGCUGGCCCUCUACGGAGGUGACCUUUGGGAUUAGAAGCUGGUCAUGCAUGAGGACGUCUGUGUAGGCGAUGAUUAUGCUUUCGGAGCAUGUUGAUGAUGAGAGUAUUAUCUUCCCUUUUUAUUUUGUUUACAUAUCUAAUGUAGCCCUAGAAGCAUAACUGUAAUUAAUAAUCUAUUGUGAAAACAUUUCGGUAAAUAUGGUAAAUAUUAUUAGACUUCA